rnacentral:rRNA from 1 species
CAGUCGCCGCGGUAAUACAGAGGGUGCGAGCGUUAAUCGGAUUUACUGGGCGUAAAGCGUGCGUAGGCGGCUUUUUAAGUCGGAUGUGAAAUCCCUGAGCUUAACUUAGGAAUUGCAUUCGAUACUGGGAAGCUAGAGUAUGGGAGAGGAUGGUAGAAUUCCAGGUGUAGCGGUGAAAUGCGUAGAGAUCUGGAGGAAUACCGAUGGCGAAGGCAGCCAUCUGGCCUAAUACUGACGCUGAGGUACGAAAGCAUGUGGAGCAAACAGGAUUAGAUACCCCGGUAGUCCCUGUCUCUUAUAC